rnacentral:miRNA from 1 species
UCUGAUCGCAGCCCCUGUGGCA